UUGCUUCCACCGGCACCCUGCCUCUAUAAAUCAGAAGCGAGAGCCAACGCCGCCACCAUCCCGCCCGUCCCCAACUCGCCGAAUCCGCAACCGCCGCAAGCAGAGAGGCCGGGAGCUCGAGCGCGAGCGCCACCCCCGCCGCCGCGAUGAGGGCCAAGUGGAAGAAGAAGAGAAUGAGGAGGCUCAAGAGGAAGCGCCGAAAGAUGAGGCAGAGAUCAAAGUAGGUGCUCCUGGAGGAGGAAGUAAAUCGUUUGCUGCAUUACGAUAUAGUUGGGGUGAUCACCCUGAUGUGCUUCGGUGUAGAUGCAGGAGAUGUUUACCUUCUUGGGUUCUAGUUUAAUUUCUAGCUCAUCAGGACCCUGGUCAUGUGCUAAGGCUGGGUUUUAUGUAAUGUGAGGAUAAUCAUAUGUUGCUUUGUGACUGAAGUUUAUGCAGUUAAAUGAGGUUUCUGGCACUAAGAAAUUUGUUUGCUGCCUAUCUGUUGCUCCCCUGUUAUUAGUACUGGUUUCUGUAA